UAUCGGCAUAAUCACUCUAGCUUCUGUGCCUGUGUCUCAGGAUAUGGUGCAGUAGCCGUGGCAUAAGCCACCAGGGUACAGGAAGAAAUGACUGUGCCUCCCGAACUGGAAAGGUGUAUAUGGCUUCACAAC
rfam:Klebsiella sp. RIT-PI-d NODE_1_length_2264346_cov_38.3847_ID_1, whole genome shotgun sequence.